rnacentral:tRNA from 3 species
GCGGGAGUGGUGGAAUUGGUAGACACGCUGGAUUUAGGUUCCAGUGCCGAAAGGUGUGAGAGUUCGAGUCUCUCCUUCCGCACCA